CCUACGGGGGGCAGCAGUGAGGAAUAUUGGUCAAUGGCCGUAAGGCUGAACCAGCCAAGUAGCGUGAGGGAAGACUGCCCUAUGGGUUGUAAACCUCUUUUAUGCGGGGAUAAAGGUGUCCACGUGUGGAUGUUUGCAGGUACCGCAUGAAUAAGGACCGGCUAAUUCCGUGCCAGCAGCCGCGGUAAUACGGAAGGUCCGGGCGUUAUCCGGAUUUAUUGGGUUUAAAGGGUGCGCAGGCGGAAGAUCAAGUCAGCGGUAAAAUUGAGAGGCUCAACCUCUUCGAGCCGUUGAAACUGGUUGUCUUGAGUGAGCGAGAAGUAUGCGGAAUGCGUGGUGUAGCGGUGAAAUGCUUAGAUAUUGCGCAGAACUCCGGUUGCGAAGGCAGCAUACCGGCGGCGAUCUGACGCUGAGGCACGAAAGCGUGGGUAUCGAACAGGAUUAGAUACCCUUGUAGUC
rnacentral:rRNA from 1 species